GAUGAACGCUGGCGGCGUGCCUAAUACAUGCAAGUCGAGCGAAGCGGGGACGGGUGAGUAAAACGUGGAUAACCUCCUAUAAGACUGGGAUAAAUUCGGGAAACCGGAGCUAAACCGGAUAAUUAUAGCUGGAGCCGCGCUGCAUUAGCUAGUUGGAAAGGUAACGGCUUACCAAGGCAACGAUGCAUAGCCGACCUGAGAGGGGGAUCGGCCACACAGGAACUGAGACACGGUCCAGACUCCUACGGGAGGCAGCAGUAGGGAAUGUUCCUCAAUGGGCGAAAGCCUGACGGAGCAAGGCCGCGUGAGUGAUGAAGGCCUUCGGAGCGUAAAACUCUGUUGGUAGAGAAGCGGUAUCUAACGAGAAAGCCACGGCUAACUACGUGCCAGCAGCCGCGGUAAUUC
rnacentral:rRNA from 1 species